rnacentral:rRNA from 1 species
AUGUCGGUGCCGGAGGCGGGGCAAUCGGCGGGGAGGGACGAGCAGGAGAUGGACGAUUACGAGCAGCACCAGACCAGAGUGCUCAUGGCGCUGAUGCAGGGCUUGUGCGCCGCGAGGUACCGCAAGGCCGACAACACCCCCUGCCUCGUCGACCAGGGCCUCUACCUGGGUUCUGUUGGAGCAGCACUGAAUAACGAGGCUCUGAAGAGCUUGAACAUCACCCACAUCUUGGUUGUUGCCAGAUCAUUGAAUCCCGCUUUUCCAGCAGAAUUUACGUACAAGAAGAUCGAGGUACUUGACAGCCCAGACACUGAUUUGGGAAAGCAUUUCGGUGAAUGCUUUACUUUCAUAGAUGAGGGUAUCUGCACUGGUGGCAAUGUGCUGGUUCACUGCUUUGCAGGUCGGUCGCGGAGUGUCACAGUUAUUCUUGCAUAUCUUAUGAAGAAGCAUCAGAUGAGCCUGCAAAGUGCCAUGUCACUAGUUAGAAGCAAACGACCUCAAAUAGCACCCAAUGCGGGCUUUAUAUCCCAGCUGGUGAACUUUGAGAAGUCUCUGCAAGUGGAGCAGGGACAAAGAACGUUGCAAUCUAACUAA